CUCAUUUCUUCGUUCUUCUCUCAUCCUCACCCUUCUUCUUCUUCUUCUUGUUCUUUCUCCUCUGCUCGCUGCCUUCGCAGUUAAACCCCUCCGUUCCUCAGCCGUGAUCAUAUUACCUCCCCGUUCCUUCGAUCUUUCUCUGUCGGUAACGGGCAUGGUUUAAAAAUCUCUCUGGGCCAGCCUUCAAUGUGGUCAUUGAGCUUCGUUGUUUCGUCGCGGCGGACCGCAACUCAGUAAACGGCGGAGUAGAGCAAAGAAAGACAGAAAGAAAGAUGGCUUUAUCGCUUCGGAUGGGCCGCUUUUUUGCGAGUUGCCUCCUUUCCUCCGCCUUGAAAUUCAAUCUACGUUCGUUACAGUUCAAGCUGGUUAACGAUGCACACUCUUGGAAUUCGCCCUUGGCCAGGACCUUUGCCACAAUAAAAGCCGAAAGGCUCCCUCUACGGAAGAAGUAAAGUCAUCGAAAAGGAAGCGAUUGGAUGAACUAUGCGUCGAAAGGUUUCAAGAGUAUAGUCGAACAUUGAUUCAGUCUUGGAUUUUGCAAGGUAAGGUAAUUGUGGAUGGAAGAGUAGUUAGUAAAGCUGGAACACCUACCUCAGAUAGUUCAGUCAUUGAGAUAAAGGCUGAAAUACCAAAAUAUGUAUGUAGAGCAGGAUACAAGUUAGAGGCUGCCAUCGAGAAACUCAAUGUUGAUGUUGUUGACAAAAUAGCUCUUGAUUCUGGAUUAUCCACAGGCGGUUUUACUGACUGCUUGCUCCAACAUGGUGCAUCUCAUGUUUAUGGUGUUGAUGUUGGUUAUGGACAGGUUGCUGAUAAAAUUCGCAGAGAUAAGCGUGUUUCUGUAAUUGAAAGGACAAAUCUGAGAUAUCUUCCUGGUUUACCACAACAAGUUGAUAUCGUGACCUUAGAUUUAUCCUUCAUCUCUAUACUUUUGGUCAUGCCGGCUGUUAUCAAUGUUAUGAAGCCGGAUUCCACAUUGGUAACAUUGGUGAAGCCUCAGUUUGAGGCACGAAGGUCCCAGGUUGGAGGUGGUGGAAUUGUGAGAGAUCCUGAAGUGCAUCAAGAAGUUCUUGAGAAAAUAAUCAAAGGAGUUGAAGGUUUUGGAUUCUGUUGCAAAGGCUGGAUAGAGUCUCCAAUAAAGGGUGCCGAGGGCAACAAAGAAUUUCUAGUGUGUUUUCAGCGAGUGACUGUAGAAUCGACAUAAAUUUCUUUAUUUUUUCCGGUUCAUAACUGGUUUGGCAUGCAGAUUUUGUUAGGGAGUACACAAUUUUUAUGAAGCUGGAAAUAAGAUGACAAAUUGCAUUUUUGAACU